rnacentral:lncRNA from 1 species
UACAGACUGGCAAGAUUUUAAUACACUAGGACUAGGUUACAAAGUAUGGUUCCUUCCACAGAAAAGUACCUUCUGUUAAAUAAGCAAAAGCUUACCUUUUCCCCAUUAAGAUAUGAAAACUAAAAUAUAAACCAUUUUUAAAGAAAUUUCCUACAUUUUCAAUUAUUUGAUGACCUUGCUCCCAUCUUGGGAAGUCAGUCUCUCAUUUCCUUGGACUUCAGUGGAAGACAUAUAUAUAUGGGGCUUUUAAUUAGCAUUUAUCCAAUUUCAGCUAAAAAUGGUCAAGUAUCA